rnacentral:rRNA from 1 species
CGUCAAAUUACACAUGCGUCGGCGCCCCCGUGAGAAUGCCCUCAACUUCCUACCCGAAGAAAAGAGCCGGCAUCAGCACAACCCCCUCCCUAGCCCAAGACGCCUUGCUCAGCCACACCCUCAAGGGAAUUCACAGUGAUCAAUAUUGAGAUAGAACUUGACUCAUUAAAUCCCCAGGGCCGGUAAAACUCGUGCCAUCCACCGCGGUUAUACGAGAGGCCCAGUCGACAGCCUACGGCGUAAAGAGUGGUUAAGCAGCCCCCCCCCUAACUAAAGCCAAACGCCCCCAAAGCCGUUAUACGCACUCCGAAGGGCAGAGGACUCCCCACGAAGGUGGCUUUAAACCAGCUGAACCCACGAAACCUAUAGAACAAACUGGGAUUAGAUACCCCACUAUGUAUAGCUAUAAACUUUGAUAGACCCCUACACGUCUGUCCGCCAGGGGAAUUACGAGCACCAGCUUAAAACCCAAAGGACUUGGCGGUACCUUAGAUCCCCCUAGAGGAGCCUGUUCUAGAACCGAUACUCCCCGUCUAACCUCACCACCCCUAGCCCCCCAACCGCCUAUAUACCGCCGCCCCCAGCUUACCCCGUGAGGGAUUAAAAGUAAGCAAGACUGAUAUAGCCAAAGACGUCAGGUCGAGGUGUAGCGCAUGGGGUGGGAAGCAAUGGGCUACAUUCUCUGACCCAAAAUAUACGAAAAGGGUGUUGAAAACACACCCCUAAAGGAGGAUUUAGCAGUAAGAGGAAAACAGAGUGUUCUCCCUGAA